rnacentral:rRNA from 1 species
UACGUAGGGGGCAAGCGUUGUCCGGAUUUAUUGGGCGUAAAGAGCGUGUAGGCGGCCUGGUAGGCCCGUUGUGAAAACUCGAGGCUCAACCUCGAGACGCCGGUGGAAACCGUAAAGCUAGAGUCCGGAAGAGGAGAGUGGAAUUCCUGGUGUAGCGGUGAAAUGCGCAGAUAUCAGGAAGAACACCCGUGGCGAAGGCGGCUCUCUGGGACGGUACUGACGCUGAGACGCGAAAGCGUGGGGAGCGAACAGG